AGUGAACGCUGGCGGUAGGCCUAACACAUGCAAGUCGAACGGCAGCACAGUAAGAGCUUGCUCUUACGGGUGGCGAGUGGCGGACGGGUGAGGAAUACAUCGGAAUCUACUUUUUCGUGGGGGAUAACGUAGGGAAACUUACGCUAAUACCGCAUGCGACCUACGGGUGAAAGCAGGGGAUCUUCGGACCUUGCGCGAUUGAAUGAGCCGAUGUCGGAUUAGCUAGUUGGCGGGGUAAAGGCCCACCAAGGCGACGAUCCGUAGCUGGUCUGAGAGGAUGAUCAGCCACACUGGAACUGAGACACGGUCCAGACUCCUACGGGAGGCAGCAGUGGGGAAUAUUGGACAAUGGGCGCAAGCCUGAUCCAGCCACACCGCGUGGGUGAAGAAGGCCUUCGGGUUGUAAAGCCCUUUUGUUGGGAAAGAAAAGCAGCAGGUUAAUACCCCGCUGUUCUGACGGUACCCAAAGAAUAAGCACCGGCUAACUUCGUG
rnacentral:rRNA from 1 species